rnacentral:rRNA from 1 species
GCUAAUACGAGAUGAUAUAAGAGAUUCGACAUGGAUUUCUUAUCAAAGCUUUUGCGGUAUGAGAUGGGACCCGCGUCUGAUUAGCUAGUUGGUAAGGUAAUGGGCUUACCAAGGCGACGAUCAGUAGUCCGACCUGAGAGGGUGAUCGGCCACAUUGGAACUGAGACACGGUCCAAACUCCUACGGGAGGCAGCAGUGGGGAAUAUUGCACAAUGGGCGAAAGCCUGAUGCAGCAACGCCGCGUGAGCGAUGAAGGCCUUCGGGUCGUAAAGCUCUGUCCUCAAGGAAGAUAAUGACGGUACUUGAGGAGGAAGCCCCGGCUAACUACGUG